AAUCCAUAGUGUGGGCAUUGUAAUAAAAGUAAUUUGAAGCGAUCCCAUACUUCAUGAAAAGAUUCAAAAUUUUUUGAUAAAAAUUAGAAAUUUCAUCUCUUAAAUU
rfam:Ricinus communis cultivar Hale ctg_1100012361379, whole genome shotgun sequence.